rnacentral:lncRNA from 1 species
AUCAUGGGUCUGUCUUGCAUUUUUUGGUAACAGCAUUCUCAGGGCCUUCUGCCAAGGGCCCGCUUUGAUCUCCCUUAAAGGACAGCAUUAUCUGACCAGAGACCCAUGCAGGAGACCUCUCCAGGUACACAUAUUUCCUGCUACUGAAUGGCUUAGACUGGGAUUUGCAAGGAACUACGAAGUCCAAGACCUUUGCCUUUCUUUUAGAAGAAGGCACCAGCUGGUUCUCCAAUGUUGAAGGUCUUCUCCAGAGAUACCUUAAGGUGUGGGGAGAUUACAACUUGCUCAAGGUCUCAUAGCUAGAAGAUGUCAGAGUGAUAACUCAAACCAUGUCACAUGACUCUAAGCCCAAAGCAGCCUCUAGAAGGUUGUUUGAUCUUCUGAUGGAAGCACAAAUCACCAUUCCAACAUGAAAGAUGGAGAAACUUAAGUCUAGAGAGAUUUAAAGGACUUGUCAAAGGCAAUGAAACAAGUGGAACUCUGAAAGCCACAUGUUGAGAUGGCCCCAUUACAGGAUGGAGAGCACCUGAACCCCCAAGUUAUGGACUAGAAGAAGACAGUUGCCCUGGAAAAUCAUCUGACCCACAUUGGACUUUAUGUGAGGGGGAAAUAAACCUUUAUUAUGUUAAGCUACACAAUAAUAAAUAACAACAAUAAUUGUGUUUAUUUGUUACCUCA